rnacentral:rRNA from 1 species
UACGUAGGUGGCAAGCGUUGUCCGGAUUUACUGGGCGUAAAGAGCGCGCAGGCGGUCGUUUAAGUCGAAUGUGAAAGCCCCCGGCUCAACUGGGGAGGGUCAUUCGAUACUGAUCGACUCGAAGGCAGGAGAGGGAAGUGGAAUUCCCGGUGUAGUGGUGAAAUGCGUAGAUAUCGGGAGGAACACCAGUGGCGAAGGCGGCUCUCUGGGACGGUACUGACGCUGAGACGCGAAAGCGUGGGGAGCGAACAGG